rnacentral:rRNA from 1 species
GACGAACGCUGGCGGCGUGCCUAAUACAUGCAAGUCGAGCGAGCUUGCCUAGAUGAAGUUGGUGCUUGCACCAGAUGAAACUAGAUACAAGCGAGCGGCUGACGGGUGAGUAACACGUGGGUAACCUGCCCAAGAGACUGGGAUAACACCUGGAAACAGAUGCUAAUACCGGAUAACAACACUAGACGCAUGUCUAGAGUUUAAAAGAUGGUUCUGCUAUCACUCUUGGAUGGACCUGCGGUGCAUUAGCUAGUUGGUAAGGCAACGGCUUACCAAGGCAAUGAUGCAUAGCCGAGUUGAGAGACUGAUCGGCCACAUUGGAACUGAGACACGGCCCAAACUCCUACGGGAGGCAGCAGUAGGGAAUCUUCCACAAUGGACGCAAGUCUGAUGGAGCAACGCCGCGUGAGUGAAGAAGGGUUUCGGCUCGUAAAGCUCUGUUGGUAGUGAAGAAAGAUAGAGGUAGUAACUGGCCUUUAUUUGACGGUAAUUACUUAGAAAGUCACGGCUAACUACGUG